UACGUAGGGUGCAAGCGUUAAUCGGAAUUACUGGGCGUAAAGCGUGCGCAGGCGGUUAUGCAAGUCAGAUGUGAAAUCCCCGGGCUCAACCUGGGAACUGCAUCCGAGACUGCAUUGCUAGAGUAUGGGAGAGGGAAGCGGAAUUUCUGGUGUAGCAGUGAAAUGCGUAGAUAUCUGGAGGAAUACCGGUGGCGAAGGCGGCAUCCUGGACCGAGAUUGACACUAAAGCGCGAAAGCCAGGGGAGCAAACGGG
rnacentral:rRNA from 1 species